rnacentral:rRNA from 1 species
AAAGGAAUAGACGGGGGCCCGCACAAGCGGCGGAGCAUGUGGAUUAAUUCGAUGCAACGCGAAGAACCUUACCUAGGCUUGACAUAUACAGGACGACGGCAGAGAUGUCGUUUCCCUUGUGGCUUGUAUACAGGUGGUGCAUGGUUGUCGUCAGCUCGUGUCGUGAGAUGUUGGGUUAAGUCCCGCAACGAGCGCAACCCCUGUCUCAUGUUGCCAGCACGUAAUGGUGGGGACUCGUGAGAGACUGCCGGGGUCAACUCGGAGGAAGGUGGGGAUGACGUCAAAUCAUCAUGCCCCUUAUGUCUAGGGCUUCACACAUGCUACAAUGGCUAGUACAGAGGGCUGCGAGACCGUAAGGUGGAGCGAAUCCCUUAAAGCUAGUCUCAGUUCGGAUUGGGGUCUGCAACUCGACCCCAUGAAGUCGGAGUCGCUAGUAAUCGCAGAUCAGCAACGCUGCGGUGAAUACGUUCCCGGGCCUUGUACACACCGCCCGU